UGGGGAAUAUUGGACAAUGGGCGAAAGCCUGAUCCAGCCAUGCCGCGUGUGUGAAGAAGGCCUUCGGGUCGUAAAGCACUUUAAGUUGGGAGGAAGGGCUCAUAGCGAAUACCUGUGAGUUUUGACGUUACCAACAGAAUAAGCACCGGCUAACUUCGUGCCAGCAGCCGCGGUAAUACGAAGGGUGCAAGCGUUAAUCGGAAUUACUGGGCGUAAAGGGCACGCAGGCGGUGACUUAAGUGAGGUGUGAAGCCCCGGGCUUAACCUGGGAAUUGCAUUUCAUACUGGGUCGCUAGAGUACUUUAGGGAGGGGUAGAAGUUCCACGUGUAGCGGUGAAAUGCGUAGAGAUGUGGAGGAAUACCGAAGGCGAAGGCAGCCCCUUGGGAAUGUACUGACGCUCAUGUGCGAAAGCGUGGGGAGCAAACAGGAUUAGAUACCCUGGUA
rnacentral:rRNA from 1 species